rnacentral:lncRNA from 1 species
GCACCCAAUCAGCACACGGUUGUGUGUUGGGAUCUUGGCUGCACUUUUGUCUCCCAAAGGUCCAUGUCCCUGGAGGACGGAACGUGAGCUCCCAGGACUGGCCUCCGUGAUGCAAAUUUACGCAAGCUGGGUCUUUUUGUAAAACCUCUGCCUGCAGUGGUUGCCGGCUGUGUGCGUACAACCCUACAACCCGUGCCUGCCUAAAUCGUGUCACUGCAGGCUCCUGGUUCGACACCCGGGCUACUGAUGCCCAGAGAAGGGAGGUGACUGGGAGCCUAGUCAUGGCACAUCAUGAGGGCGCCCGAGGACUCCUGACCCCCUGGCGAGGGGGCCCUCUGUGAUGGCAUGUCACAGCCCUGGGCGCUCGGGGAUCUCCUCUCCCCUCACGCCGGUGGGAGAGGAAGGGAUCCCAAACGGCACCCUGUCCACCUCCGACGCCAACCGUCCCCUGGUGCAGAGGAAACCAGCUUUCUGCUGGUCGGAGGAGCGUUUCAGAAGAGGAAGCAAAAACCGAGCUGGUGUUUUGCAUCCAAUACUGGUAAAGACAUUGAUGGGCAACCAGAAAUCACCGCACAGUCCAAAGGAGGCCAUGGGGCAUGAUGGUGCAGGCCAAGCUCUGGGGUGCAAGCUGGGACGGGGCACCUGCCCAAGCACACGUCACUUGUCUGCCCACGAGUGACACUCUCAUCCUCCUCCGGGAAGGUGACGGGGGCCGCUUCACAGGCCAGCUCCAGAGAGCAGCAGGUGGACACCUGAAGGCUGGCACACCCGAGGGCCUCACCAAGUGAGUGAGCACCGCUAGCCCGUUCGGGAAGACGGCAGGUUUCCGCGCGCUUGCCAGUCAGGAGGCCCACGACUGUCCUCGCCUUUUUCAUGCAAUCAUUUCAACUUAGAAUUUGACUUAAAAAUGUAUUCUUAAACAUUCACGCAUGUGUAGAAUUGCACAUUUCAGAAACAGAGAAUAAGAGACCCCCCCCCCCCCCACCCUGGGCCAUCCCCUCUUGCACCAUCCUGCUGGUCUGGGUCUUUUCUACUGCGUGGGACAUUCCUGGACACCACGGUUUAAAAGGUGUUCUCCUCCCUUCCCUAGUGACAGUCGCUUUCCUAGAACACAUCCUUUCACUUUUUGCCCACAGCGCCAUCUUCUUGGUGGGCUGGGGUCUGUGGCAGGUGCAUCUCGCUCACCUUGAGAAACAGCUGCAGGCAGCUGGCCGCAGCACCCGCCGCGCGUCUGGCUCAGGAUUUACGCUGCCUCUUCUUGGACUCCAGCUCAGGCUUGUCUCCCUCGGAGCUAAUUAUUAAGUUCUCAAAGGGACGUUUUGUCUGAUGAGGUUGUUUUUUUGUCUAAAACUCCAGGCUUUUCUAAUCUAGAAAAAAAAAUCACAUAAACUUCUGAAAACGUAAAAUAUGUAUAUAUAUAUAUAUAUAUUUUCUUUUCUUAGAAAAGAAAACUAUUUUAUACUCAAUUUCUGUCUCCCUGCAAGUGAACAUUAUUUGAGGGGUUUCUUUGUUGUUUUUCAUUUUAUGUGUGUGUGUUUGUAUGUAUGUAUGUAUUCAUCUAUGUAUCUAGAACUUGUUCACCUUCGCGUGUCAUUUGACAGAGUUACAAUCGUAAUGUAGGUGAUUGUUUUUUUUUAAAGAUUUUAUUUAUUUAUUCAUGAGAGACAGAGAGAGAGAGAGAGGCAGAGACACAGGCAGAGGGAGAAGCAGGCUCCAUGCAGGGAGCCCGACGUGGGACUCGAUACUGGGUCUCCAGGAUCACGCCUUGGGCUGAAGGCGGGCACUAAACUGCUGAGCCCCCCCAGGGACCCCCAAUAUAGGUAAUUUUUUAACAGAGACCAUUUUUGGUUCCUCCGUGUCAUCUUCCCCAUACCAAAAGAAUCUGUGAAAGCAGGUCAGGGAUUUGGACAGUUGAGGGAAAUGCAGGGCGCUGCAGAAAUGAUAUAUUAUGGGGGGGCAGUGAUGGAAAGUAUGGCCUCUGGAGUCCCCGCCCCGGGCUCAGGUGACCGCUCUGCUCAGUGGCCUCCCUAGGUCACCCCUUUGGGUGCUGGUGCUUCCUCAUCCAACAAGGGCUCUGAUCUCCACCCCGGCGCCCGCCUAAGGAUCAGAUGAGGACCUGCCUGCCAGCAGUGGGCCCACCACGUGGCAGGUAUCAUCGCUGGUGUCACCAUUCCUCGGUCCUGCAUAAGUAGCUCCCCAGCAUUUGCACCCUGGCGGACCCGGGGGCGGGGAGCAGACGCUGAGCCAGUGUCAAGUUCGCUGGCCACCCGCCGUGGCGUUCCAGCCUACAUCAUGCUUCCGAAUCUGUCACCCGAGUCUCUCAGACUGUCUUCCGCGGGACAAAGAGCGCUUCUGUUCCUGCUUAGGAUGAAGAGCUGGGUCCCCGGGGCAGCCAACAAUUUGAUGGAUUCACCCACCUUGCUACUGAGUCAUCGACAUUCCCAGGGUCAAAACAUGGGACGAGUCAAGGGGAAUUUAUAUCGUGUGUAAAUUCUUGUCGCGUGGAAACCACCCGGGGUCCCAGCAGGGCUCUAACCACCUCUGCACUGAAUGCGAGAUGCAGAAACGGGGAGGAGGGGGGAGGCGGGGGGCUGUUUAUGUCUAAAUGACCGAAGCCCUGGGAAGGAGUCUCUUUAUUAAGGGUCCUCUGUCAUCACAUAGAGAAUAAUUUUAAUAGACUCCUGGUGCUGUCGGUCAACGUCUAGUUUUCUCGGGCUGGGGCUGUUCUGGGCUCACCUAGAUCACAGCAUCGCGGGUGGUUACGUCCCCAGUUAAUGCUUGGUUAGCCAAACUCUUCCUGCUUAGCAUUAACGUUCUUUAUGAGUCAAUACUGAGGCCCCAUCCACUCUGUCAUCCUUGUGUCACCCAUGUCACCCCUGCUUUGUCUAUCUUUUUGGAAUAAUGAGAUUCGCAAAGGAACUUAAUACAUCGAUUUCAUGCCCGGUAAAAUUCCCCUGAGUCACAAUGCAGAGCACCAGCAGGUGUAGAGAUCCCAGACCACACAAACCCGUAGACGGGAAGAGAGAUUACCCUGCAUGGGUGAAUGUUUCAGAAGCCAAAUAAGCGCACGGGAAAGCUCAAUGUAACGGAACGUGCAAAGUUCUGAAUUUCUGGCCACAGUUAGUGAGAGGAAUUAAAGGCUUGAAAUAUCCCAGGCUGAUUUUUCUUUGUGAUAGAUGAUGCUGUGUUAAUGACAAAGCAUCCCUUUUAGCAUGCUGAGAGCCUCCCAACUGUCUCCCAGCCACUUCUGUUUAAUCCUCACAAAAGCAUACGAGACAAAUACAUAACUCAGGAAGCUUAACCCUUUUGAACAGACCUCACAGGUUUAUGGAUGAGGCUUGAGCCAAAUUUAUGUCAGAACAAGCUAAGUGAACGGAUUGUCAGUGGCUAAUUGCCUCUGGAAUAUGGAUCAUAAAAAUGCAAUAAAGGAGGAAUCAAAAUCAACACACAUAACAAAAAAGCUCAAAAAAAUGUUAAGCCAUUUGGUUUUUGAAGGACAGGAUUAUUUGAUAUAAGCAGUGUUUUGUUGCAUUGGUGAAACCCCCUCCUGGCUUCUGCCCUCAGAGUUUGACAGAAACAACUCUUGCAAAGGUCACUGGUUAUCUUCGUGUCACCAAACGAAAAAGGCAUUUUAUCUUCCUCCUUUUUUGAAUUUCUAGCAACAUUUGAUGCAAUAAACGGACAACUUCCUA